rnacentral:sRNA from 1 species
GGAGAGUGAAUUCUGCCUCCGGGCUGCUGGGGCAUGAAACCAGAGGCAGGUAUGGAAGGACACUUGGCAGAGUAGGAUACAGCGGAAGCCCCCUCCGACUGUCAGGUACAGCCCCGCCCCAGCAGCGUCUCAACUCUCACCCCUCACGGGGUAUUGAGGCCGGCUGCAGAGUUUUCAUCAGGGGACAUCAAUGUCUUUAUUCAAGGUUUCAACAGAACUUGCAAAUACAUUCCAGCACUUUGCUUCUGCAGUUAAGCUAGGUUAAGAAGAGAAGAGGGGUUUCGUUGUCGUUGUUGUUGUUGUCGUCGUCGUCGUCGUCGUUGUUGAUGAUCUCAUUAAAUAAAUAACCCAGGCUAACCUUAAACUCAUGAUCCACAAUCUUCCUGGCUCAGACUUCCAAGUACUGAAAUUACAGAGAUGCAGUCUCUUAUUGGCCUGGAAAUGAACCACAUAGCCCAGGCUAGCUGGCCUGCCGUGGGUCCAGGGAUCUGCCUGUCUCCAUCUCCCAUCUCACCCUCCCUGGUUUACAAGGUGUGCUACUGUGCCUGGCUCUCCCCCUUUAACAUGGGUUGUAGAGAUCUUAAUUCAGCUCCUCCCAUUCAUAAGAUUCUGGUUUAGGACAGACGUCUUGAGCCCUCUAGGGAAAGAAAAUAUUGGAGUCUGCAAUGAAUAAAGGUGAGUCCCUGGAGGUUUUCAUGGGCUAAGGACAACUUUAGAUUUGAAAGCAAGAAGAGAGAAUGGUGGGGGCCGUAUGCCAGGAUUCCCACCCCCCAAUUUUGCAUUGUGAAAAUGUUUAAAAAGAACUGUAUACAGUAGAAGGACGGACCAGAAAAUACCCAGCUGCCUACCACUUAGAUUCUGUAAUUAUUAACUAAUUGCUGUUUGGUCUGUCAUGCAUUUCUUUAUUGACCCCUCCUUGUCUCUACCCAUUCACCCCGACUUCCUUUUGAUGAUUUCUGCAAAGCCGUAGAGGUCAUUCUACCCCGAAGCGCUUUAGCGUGUCCAUCAUUAACCGUAUCCAGCAUUUGGCUUUGCUUAUGUUGAAGAAGACACAUAGGCAGCCACUGCUUUAAACUGAGCUCCUGCACUAGGCUCAGUGGGCCAAACCAAAAUGGGCUCACUUGUUUGGGGCCAGUGGCAUGGCUGGCGGGUAAAG